AAUCGUGGUGGGAGCAUUCCGUGUAGUAGUCUUUGAAUCGCUCUCAAGAUUCAUGGAACGAUUCUGUACCAGUCUACUGAAAAGAAGAGAUCUUAUUCCUUAGAAU
rnacentral:snoRNA from 1 species